CUUUCUGCUUCAGGCCACAAUUAGAAAGACAACUGUUUAAGAACUCUCACAAUUGUAUUUUAUUUGACAUCAGCAAUACACUGGAGUAUAAUAGGAACAAUUUUUUUGCACAAUCUUUCUUGCAAGAUGGAUUUAUUUUCCAAAUACAUAGAUGUUCAUAAUACAGGAAGGUAACAGUUAAGCUGCACAAUAGCAAAACAAGUUGACAGCUAUCAAACCACCUUUUAAGUUUGUUUGUAUAGUCAGGUGACCAGCAUUGAACAUAUCAUUCAAAUAAUUUAGUUAACCUCUGAUUCUUCAAAUCUUCCCAGCCACAUUGUUCUAUGCAACUAAAAUGCGCACCAAGAAUAGUGAAAAAGAAUUCAACAAAAGGCUUCCUUUGUUUUGAUUUCCUUUCAGUUUUUCCCCAUGUAUGAGCCAAUACAAAGGGAUAAACAUCAGAAUUUGGAAUGGCACAGGAACUCUUGCAACAUGCAUCUAGGUCAGCCACAUAUUGCAGAAGUAGUGAGUUAUUGACAGAGAAGAUAGGACUUUCCUACAGGGGGUAUUUAAAAAGCAUUUUUACUAUGCUUGGUUUAAGUAUAUUUUUUGCAUGGCACUACUUUUACAGAAAAAAAAAAGUACUUCCAAAAGCUUCAUAUUUUUCACUGGGAUUUUUCCUUGCAAUGUCUAAGCCUAAACCCAGAUGUUUUGGUUGCAAUGGAUAGGGCUUCUGAGAAAAAGAAAAGCUUACAGUAAAACAAAAUAUCAGUAAAUACCACUUUUUUAAAGUUAUUUUAAUUUUCAGCUUAAAAUGACACAAUACAUAUGACAUAUAGCAGCUGCUACACAUCACAUAUAAUUUUUUUGUUUGUUUGUUUCUCUGUUGGUAUGCAGGUCUUAAACUUCAAAUUAGUACAGAAGUUGAUAUCUCCCAGUCUGCCCCUCAGCUGUGAAUUUGUGAGUAAAAAGAGUGAGAGAAAGGAUGCUCUCCAUCAUUUGUUAGAUGGACUGAUUUCAACAGCUCACUAAAGUACCCCAGCAGUUUGGAAUAUCAGGUCUGGCAGAGUGCUUAAUGCUGCUGGUAGGGUGGUAGGUAAAGGUGAGGAGAAAAAGGUACCCAGAGCAACUUCUAGGUGCCUUAUUUACUUACUACCAGCAAGUGAAUACUGUGUCUGCAGAUGGACUUUUAACACACUGCCUCUGCUCUGUAUGCUUGCUAGUGCUGCAGCACAGAGCUCAAGUGGGCUGGCAGUGCUAGCACUCAUCCAGAAAAUUUAGAAACCUGAAAACUUCUGUCUGUUCUACAACUGACCUGUAUCUCAGGCAGCCAAAGUUGGUUUAUGUCACUGUGCUAGCAGUGGAUCUUGAAGCCCACCCCUAAACCCUUACACACCAUACUUUAGGACUCCAACCCUACUUACACUGUGCUUUGCUGCUUGACUGCCAGGGUUUAUCUGCCCCUGCCAUGGAUGCACACCCUCCAUGUGCCCAGAUUCUGCUGUCCACCUGGUGAUGGAGAUGUGAUGCAUAGAGAGCCUGUGGCUAAAGGGAAGGCAUGGGAAUCCCACACCAUCCCAGAAACUGCUGCUCCUCACCUCAGCCACACAGCAAGGGAGCAAAGUCAGGGACAGAACUUGAACAAACCAAAACAGUGCAAAAGUAGCAGAACAUGCCAAAGAGUGGGUUUAGAUUGUUCAUUUUGGAAGUUUUAGCCCUUAAACCUAAUUCAACUCUUAUACCUUACCUCAGGAAAAUGCCUCAGCUGUUUUUAUCCAGAACUGGAAUAUCUUCUCCUGCUGAACAGAUUGCUCCACCACCACUUACAAAAACACACUCCUAACUCAGCAAGGCCAGCACUGAGUGCCCUCCUAACUGGACUGAUGUAUUGAACCUAAAAAUUCCUAGUCUUCCACAGUUCACCCAUGGCAUAGCAGAAAGAAAUCUUGGAAGUAUACAGGGAAGCUGAUUAAUUGCAUACUUAGUAAGACCAACUGAGAAUGUGAAGAUCAAAGAAUGCCUUUUUUUCACUCACAUAUCUUUUCUUAUCUGAUUUCACUAUAUUUAUGCAGAGAGGAAGAGAGAAGUAGCAUUUUAAAAAAUCUCCACAGAAUUUUCUCACCUUCUGUUUAAUAUUGUCUCCACAUUCUCCAAAAAGAAAAAUACAAUCCAUGUAUUAAUGCAGCUAAGCAUAUUGUUUAGCUUAACAGAAAAUCUACAUACAUUUCACCUUACCUUCCUAAGUGAAAUGUCAACAAAUAAAAUUCACAUUUUCAGUACAGAGCAAAUAUUUUUGCACAUAAAAUUUUUAAAGUUUUAACUAAAUAUCCUCCAAAUUAGAGAUUUUAUUUGAAAACAAAAGCUAUCUUUGUGAUAUAAUCAUAGACAGAAGUUUGCAUAGAAAUGUUUCCUACCUUCCUGAAGUUUGCAAUGGAGCUUAUGAUUUCCAUGUCUGCAGGUGAGGAAGCUUCUUUAAAAGAAAUAGUUUAAAAAAAUGAAAAUAAUUCAGCUUGAUUUUCUUCUUAAUAAUUAUGGAACAAAAUGGAGAAAUGCGUAUAAUUAUGCAACAAAAUAGACCACCAAAGAGAACCCCCUUUUUCCUGUGUUUAAGGAGUGAUGGAUUCAUAGUUAUACCUACAAAGAAGUCAGUGAUGCAGUUCUGUCUCUGGGAAGGCCCACAAGCUGCUGGCAGGAGACUGUGGGUACUUACCAGGCAGCAGCAUUAAGCAUCUUCUUCUUCAUUACCACACCUGUAUUUGGCACUCCCACCACUCUCCAUUUCAAAACACUUAGCAGAUAGGCAAGGAGCAGACAAGGUGCAAUACACCUUGGUGCUCCUCUGAGACCUUCUGUGCAGUUACAGUGCCUAUGAGCAGUGCUGAUCUGAAGGAAGCUUUCAUUCUGCCCUAUUUUGUAUUCCAAAAGAGUAUUUUCCAUCCCACCCCCACUACUCCAAAGACCCUGUUGCACCACAGGACAGCUUGGAUGCACAGCAACAUGAAAGCAUUCCAGCUGGCAGCAGGAGCUACCUCAUCUUUUCAGUCUUCUAGCCACAGCACCAGAACCCUUAGGGAAGAUUAACUGUGCUGAUCCUCGUGCAGGAUUUGCAGUUGGAGUUGAAUUCCACACUGCACUCAGCUUGCUCCUAUGCUGCCUAUUUGGAAAAGGGGUUUAGGGGGCAUUUUCAUAAGUGGCUUAAUCCAAUAUAAGCUCUGCUCAGCCUCUGAGAGAGGCAGUCACACUCUCCAUACCCUCUGGUUCUGACCACAGACUCCCAUCUUCUCCCACAUGAGCAGCACAGCAGCUCUCAUGCACCCACCCAUGGUGGGCUACACACACACACACACACACACACACACACACACACAACCCUUUUGUGUGUUUUUUGUGCCUUUUGUGGUUCCAUGCUCUGCAAGUGCCAGCUUGUGGAUGUACAUUUUCAGACAUGGCAACUGUAAAUGCAGGUGCAGCCCACACGCUGUAGCACUGACUGGAUUAUCAGAAACGCUCAGCAUCAAACAGCUCCCAUGAAUUCAGGUACAAGAAUGAAGUCUUCAGAUCUAGUAGGAAAGCAUGAUACUUUAAAAAAACUGGUUGUUACUGUAAUGAAAGCUGUUUUCUUCACCCACAUUCCCUCGGAUAACUGAAUUAAAUCAGAGACAGCAUUCUCUCUAUUUAUUCUCUUAAACAUAAAGCAAGUUAAAUGCUAAACAUUCCAAAGUGCUUCACUGCUCAAAAUUAAAUGUAUAGAGCCGCAGAAAGAUUUUUUUAAAAAUGUUACUGUUUACAUUUUUGGUUGAGAAAUGUUCUAAAACAAAGGGAAGCAGUAAAACUUAAUAAAACUCAUUCUUUUUCCCUUCCCAUUCUCUCUCCUAAUUUGUCCUGGCUGACAAAGAAAAUACCAUUUUCACAAACAGCUUCCAUGGAACACAAAUGUUUAUAAUAGGAUAUUAGGCACUUUUCUUUAAUAGUUUCUCAUUAUACUUAUAAUGAAGGAAUAAUUAUUUCUAGGCUGUUUCCUGCCAGAUGCAGUUCUAGUACCUCUAAUAGGACAUAUCUUAAAAUAACUGCUUGGUAGCAAGAAAAUAAAUUUUUCAUCCAUACUCAUGUUUUCCCUUCUUUUCUCUCUCUUCAAAUAACUUCAUUAAUUGUAGCUCUUUCAAAAAUUCUGGUCUUUUUUUUUUGUUUUGUUUUGUUUUUUUGUUUUUUUAGUCCAUGAUUGUCAUUGAUAUAAUUCACAAAAUCACCUUUGUGGAGGAAAAAUGACCACGAGGGCACAGGAGGUUUGAGAAAGCCUGAGAGAACCUCUGUUUUAAUGACAGUGGAGGUAAGAGGAGAAUCCUCAGACUGUGGUUUCACACCAGCAUUAACCCAGCUCAAAGCAUCAAUCCAGGCUCCUCAUGCCCUCCUUUGUACCAGCACUAAGAUGGGAGCCAGAUCAGACAGAUCCCACUACUACUAACCAGCCAAAAGGAAACAAGACAAAACUGCAGGUUUAGCUAGAUAAGUUACUUCAGCCUGCUUCCCCACAAGCACAGAACUACCUCCCCACACACUAAGCAAGGCAAUAAAGAAGAAGGUGAGAGGGCUACCUUCAGCAGUAAUAUAGCUUUAUGGUGGAGUCUUAAAAAAGGUUGCAAAAAGCUGAUAGGAUUCUGCUUGUAGUCUCUCUGGUGCAGACUCCUCCAGAGGAUGGCAGAACAUAAGCCAGCUCCAAUUCAGAAGCCUCUUAGAAUAAACAUGCCCUGAGUCCUGCCCUGCCCAAUGUGCUUCAUCAGCCCUUCAAACAUGGGUUGAGUAUUCAAGACAGGUGGAUUAUUUUUUACCACAAAAGCACUGCUGGUAUUGAUUUGCAAAGGUAUGUAUCUAUGAAACAAAUAUUUUAAAGUAAUUGCUCAAGAGCUCUGCUUAUCUGAAACACCUCAAAUCACCGCCACUCCUCUGGUGAUAGACAAUGUGGCCACAAAUUAACAAAAAAAUGAAAUACAUGUACAUACAGAAUCAUCUACUUAUGAAAAGUUCAUUUGACAACCUGGCACAUCCUAACAGAAAAGGAGAUUUUCAAGCUUGCAAAUAUAAAGCAUACUGCUUAGUAAUAAGGUUAGCUAUCUCAUAUUUCACAAUAACUUUGAAGAAAUACUUGUAGACAUUCUUUACUUCUGAGUCCUUCAUCCCCGGAGCAGUUUUACUUACCGUGGAGAUGAGCCACCAGCACAAGAUGAAGAUGCAAGACAAAGCAGUGCUCAACUAAUUUUUCCAAGGUAUUGAGCUCAGAAAUACAGCUGAGUGCUUCACACUGUCAUCUACUUCUUCUACCAAACUCCAGUUAUGUAUUUUCCAAGGAUGAAAACAUAUUCACAAGCAAUUAUUUCCUUCAGUGUUUCUUUAUGUCAUCAGGUCAUCCACAGACUGCUGUCAGUUAACAGCAACCUGGAUACAGUAUUAACAAAAACACUAAGCAAAUCUUGACACAACAGCAAGAUGACCAGCAGGAAAUAACCCAGAUCUCCAUGCUACUUGAAGAUAGUACCACACUCUUCCUCCAGAUCUUUUUCUUGAAAAUAGUUACAUGAAGAUAGUGAUAAAAAAAUACCUACCUCACAUCGUGUUUUCUAUCCAGAAGGUACUCUUUCAAUACAGAGCUAUUAGCAAGUGCAUCUUGAGUCUGCCUCCUUAAAAUUCAGGGAAAUUAUAUUAUUUCAAGAGAUACAUACCCAGCCUGCAACAGCAUUAGUAUUUUUAAAUGCUUAAACUACACUUUUUUUUU